rnacentral:lncRNA from 1 species
AGCGAAUCCAGAGUGGAAAUGAUUCUUACAACAUGAUUAUCCCUCUGUCCGCCAAUGGCCGGAACAAUUUUGACCAGAUGCUAACAGGCUUUUAAGAGUUACUAUCAUUUACUUGGAUCCAAAAUGUGAAUUUCUUUUUUCUUCUUGUUUUCUAGAAUUCAAUUCAUUUUUCUUUUGUUGGCUCAACUAGGACACAGUUUUCAGGGGAAACUUUUGUACUUGUAUCUUGAACAAACAAAUUAUCACAGUAAUUUGUUGUCAUGAGCUAAAUUUUGCUCGGUUAUCACAAGCUUGUAUGAGAUCACAGUUAUUUCUACUCACUCUUCCAAAGGAAUAAUGAAUAUAUGUCAUUUAUCUUUGCAAUUUUGUCUCUCAACAAUUACAGCUUGUGAGCUUUAGUAUAUGUUUGUAAUGCCCCAGUUUGUAAUAUAUGUCAUUUAGCAAAGUUGGUAUUUAUUUCAGUUAUGAAAGUUGGACUGCCAAAACUAGUUUGAAGCAAGUAAAGAAAUAUUAUUCCUAAAUGAUAUGUAAUGUUUCAUGCAGGUUUGUAAUAGGUGAUAUAAUGACUAGCUCUCAAUUGUAUCAGCACCAGUAUGUCUGUUAUGCACUUUCAACUAGCUCUCAACUGUGCAAGAGAGCUCUGGAACGACUCCGGCCACUUUCGUUUGUAUGCACCUGUAGUUGAAGACAUCGUAGGGAAUCACUAAGGACAUUUUUUCACUCUUUCUUUGGACUAAUUAAAGAGACAGAGAUAAAUACGGGUGGUGUUUGGUUGCGAAAUAGGUCGUCUUACGUGAGGCAUGCCAAUCUAACUUAUAGGAUAGUGAGAUAAAGAAUGUGUGAUCAACAAGUACUGAAAUGGGAUGGAGAACCACUGUUGAUUGACGCAUUGCAUUCUUCCAAAAGAAGACUUGACUUGAGUCACUUGCUUCCAACCAUAUAUGACUCUUGUUUUCCAAAGGCAACUGCUCUUAGUCUGCUGCGUGGUUACAAACUUACAAUACGUCUAUUGAACAUAAAGGACGGGGUUCGCAUGACUUGAGGGAGGCAACUUGUUGAAAUAUAAAUCUCACAUCGGGAAAAUAAGACAUUACAUGUGAUUUAUAAGGGUUUGAGCCACUCCACCAAUUGACAAUUGAUUUUGGAUGUGAACCUCAUACCACUUUAUCAUGACUUAUUGUAAGUUUAUAACCACGCAGCAGACUAAGAGCAGUUGUCUUUGGAAAACAAGAGUCAUCUAUGGUUGGAAGCAAGUGACUCAAGUCGAGUCUUCUGUUGGAAGAAUGCAAUGCGUCAAUCAACAGUGGUUCUCCAUCCCAUCUCAGUACUUGAUGAUCACACAUUCUUUAUCUCACUAUCCUAUAAGUUAGAUUGGCAUGCCUCACGUAAGACGACCUAUUUCGCAACCAAACACCACCCGUAUUUAUCUCAGUCUCUUUAAUUAGUCCAAAGAAUGGAGGGAGUUUUGGUUAUGAAAUUGGUUUUGAUAUCCUCAUUAUUAGUUUUGAACUGUUGUAGCUCCAUGCAACUGAACCAUCCGAGAGCACUCCAGGGGAAUGAGACAGACAGGCAGGCACUGCUAGCAAUCAAAGAUCAAAUACAACAAGAUCCAAACCAAAUCACAAGCUCAUGGAAUGAAACGCUUCACUUUUGCCUGUGGCACGGCGUCACCUGCAGUCGACGACAUCGCCAAAGGGUGACCAAGCUGGAGCUGGGGUCUCUAGCAUUGGGGGGAUCCAUAUCUCCACAUAUAGGAAAUCUAAGCUUCUUAAGAGUGCUAGAUCUUCGGAACAAUAGCUUCACUCAGCAAAUCCCUCCUCAAAUUGGGCGUUUGCAUAGAUUGCAGGUAUUACGUCUAAACAAUAACUCACUUACUGGCACCAUUCCUGCCAAUAUAUCUAAUUGCUUGAAAGUCACCUAUCUCAAUCUUGCUAAAAACAAUCUCGUGGGUCAAAUUCCUCCCCAACUCAGCUCAUUGUCAAAGCUUCGGACUUUUGUCUUGCAAGACAACAAUUUAACAAGAGAGAUCCCAUCAUCUUUAGGCAACCUCUCUUCUCUCGAGGCAAUUUCUCUAACUGCCAAUAACUUAGAAGGAAAUGUCCCCAGCUCUCUAUGCCAGUGGACAAAGUUAACAAUUUUCUAUUUGGGCAUGAAUAGGUUGUCUGGUAUCAUCCCUUCUUGCAUUUAUAAUCUCUCUGAUAUAGUUCAAUUCGACCUAACACAAAAUCAACUUGGAGGAAGUCUUCCAUCAAAUUUGAGCCAUGCUUUCCCAAAACUUCAAUUCUUUUCCAUUGCCUUAAACCAAUUUACUGGGUCCAUCCCUUCGUCAAUAUCCAGUGCAACAAAUCUUGCGAGGUUUCAAUGUUCAUUUAACAACCUCAGUGGACAGGUGCCAAAUUUACAGAAACUUCAUAACCUUGAAACAUUCAAUAUCGUGGUUAAUAAUCUUGGAAUUGGUAAACAUGGUGACUUGAGUUUUGUCUCAGACUUGAUCAAUGCCACACAGCUGGCUAACUUGGCUUUCGGCCACAACAAAUUCGGAGGAACGCUUCCCACAUCAAUAUCCAAUCUCUCAACCAACCUGCGGAAACUUGUAAUGGGAAGAAACUAUCUGCACGGAAGCAUUCCAACCGGGUUAGGGAAUCUUGUGAACCUGCAAGUACUGGGUUUGGAGGAAAACAACUUCAAAGGUAGCAUCCCCACAGAUCUCGGGAAGUUUCAAGCCUUGGCGUUAUUAACCUUCACAGCAACAAAUUUUCCGGGAGCAUUCCAUCUUCUUUUGGAAAUUUGACAGUGUUAAACGACCUUUGGUUGUAUGAAAAUAAUCUCAAUGGGAGCAUCCCUUCAAGCCUAGGAGAAUGUCACGGGUUGCAAGAGUUAGAUCUUUCUCAAAAUAACUUAGAUGGCAAAAUACCUCAACAAUUACUUAAUGGUCUCCUCUCUUUAUCAAUUUCUUUAAACUUGUCAACAAACCGCCUUAUUGGUUCCCUUCCCGUUGAGAUUGGAAAGUUGAAGGCUCUAGGUAAGCUAGACAUCUCUAACAAUAUGUUAUCGGGAGAACUUCCUAGUAGCCUCGGUAGUUGUCAGAGUUUAGAAGUCCUACACUUGCAAGGCAAUUUCUUCAGCGGGCUCAUCCCUUCAUCUAUGCAGGAUUUGAAAGGGAUACGAGAUUUAGACCUUUCUCGCAAUAAUUUCACAGGAGGUAUUCCACAGUUUUUCGAGGGCUUCCGAUACUUGGAGAAUAUCAACCUAUCCUUCAAUCAGUUUUGGGGAGCAGUGCCAACUGGUGGUGUUUUCAAGAAUGCAAGUGCGACUGCAGUUGCUGGAAACUCUAGGCUAUGCGGCGGUGUUGCUAAUCUUCGACUUCCUGUGUGCAAACCUAAUGAAUCAAAAAGAGAAGCGUUGUCUCGCAGAAUGAAACUGUUGAUUUCUUUAGUUUCUGGGUGCAGUCUUUUGGGACUGGCUGUGGUGUUGUCACUUUUUCUUCUUGGUAAGAAAAGGAAAGAAGCUAAGUUAAGCACUUUUGGGAACUCUGUUUUGCAAGUUUCAUAUGCUACACUCCUCAAAGCUACCAAUGGUUUUUCUUCAGCUAAUUUGAUUGGUUCGGGUGCAUUUGGCUCUGUCUACAAAGGAAUUCUUGCUGAAGAUAGAGUUGUUGUUGCUGUGAAGGUGUUUAACAUGUUACAUCGGGGAGCUUUUAAGAGUUUCAUCUCUGAAUGUGAGGCGUUGAGAAACAUCAGACAUCGAAAUCUGGUCAAGAUAGUAACUGCAUGCUCAAGUAUUGAUUUCAAUGGCAAUGAUUUUAAGGCUCUUGUUUAUGAAUUCAUGGAAAAUGGGAGCUUAGAGGACCGGUUGCAUCCUUCUUUUGAGAAUGAAGAGGUCACAGAAGCGCCUAAACUUUUAAGUCUUGUUCAGAGGCUCAACAUUGCCAUUGAUGUUGCUUCUGCAUUGGAAUAUCUUCACAACCAUUGCGAAACCCCGAUAGUUCACUGUGAUCUCAAGCCAAGUAAUGUCCUGUUAGACAAAGAGUUGACCGGACAUGUUUCUGAUUUUGGGUUGGCAAGGUUUCUCACAGAGUCAACCGUAAGUGUUUCUGGAAAUNNNNNNNNNNNNNNNNNNNNCUUUUCUCUAUUUUCUUCACAUCUAUCUCUCGCACAAAUGCUAUCUUAUUAUAAGUGCAGUUUUAGUAACAAAUGUCUAUCACAUUGUUCAAAUUGUAGAGUAUGGUAUGGGAAGUGGAGUGUCAACAUAUGGGGAUGUUUACAGCUUUGGUAUACUCUUGUUAGAAAUGUUCACAGGGAAGAGACCGACUGAUCACAUGUUCAGUGACGGCUUGAAUCUUCAUAAUUAUGUGAAGACAGCUCUCCCUGAACGUGUUUUGGAGAUUUCAGAAUCAGUACUAGUUUUUCAAGAAGGCAACUCCAAUGUUGAUGAAGGUCACAGCCAAUUGAGUGCACAGAAAAUUGAAGAGUGUUUGACAUUGAUACUUGGAAUUGGAAUUGCCUGUUCUGCUGAAUCCUCAACAAGCCGAAAGGAUAUCGGUGAUGCUACAUCCGAACUGCACACAAUCAGGGGCAAUCUUCUCGGCUAGAAUCUUCUAUAUAUAAUACUACUGAUUUUUGAAAGCUUUUAUAUGUGUUGUAUUCUUGUUGUGUUUUAUAUUUUCUCAAUAAGCGGUAUAUGCAGAGUCCAAUUGAUGCGCUUUGUUACUACUAUGUCUUGUAGAUAGUGUGUAAUUGUGUUUUUGUUGCCUUGAGAAUAAAAAUAGUAACAUCUUGUGUAAGUUUAUUAUACAUCCCAGGUCUGAAACUCAUGAUCCCUCUAGGUUCAGUGGAGAGGGUAAUGUACUUCAGACUGUCAGUUUGAUAAGAGUUCAUACUUUAUCCCAAUUUCGGUUAUCUUUUAAUCUAAUCCCCAAGCAUCAUCUGAAAUCACUUCCUUUUCUUUUUUCUUCUUUUUUUUAGAACAGGCAAACUUUAUAUCAAACGAGUUGAAGCAUCUUCCUUCAAACUGUCUCCCAAUUUGAUUGAUCAAGUUUAUCAGUAUUCGUUAACUAGAAGAUAUUAAAGACUCGUUAAAUUGAUUUGCUUGUCAUACCUUAAUUUCCUGGAAGUUAGAACGCACCAUGUGAUGUUUGGAAAAUUGCAAAUUAGAAAAUACAGAGCUAUAGAAAAAAAAAUCUAUGUAAAUGAUUGAACAAAAGAAAGAAAACAGAGACCGACAAAAUCAAUACUGGUGCUGCUUGCUUGGACUUGACCUUGGUGCUUGAUUUUCAGAUUUUCUUAACCAGACACCAAAACAGUGGUGGUGGCAGUUUACUGGAAGUUUCUUAUUGAAAAGUUGAAUAUUUAACAACACCAAUCAACAUUAACAGCAUUUUGUUUUUCUUCAAGUUUUACUAUUAUAUACACAACAGAGGAAAACAGAGUAAGAACAGAGACGUUGGAACAAAAUCAACUAGUUGCUGCCACACAACAAAAGUUGGACUGCUAGUACUAGUUUGAACUUUGAAGCAAGUCGGCUUUUAAAAGAAAAAUUAUUUUCCCUAAAUGAGUAGCUUCAGUCAUUAAGUUUCUUCUGCAAUUCAACAUUUUCAUGCAGCCCCUAUUAAGGAUAUUACGUCUAGACGAUAACUCACUGAAGGGUAAUUCAGUCAUCAUUCUCAAUCUCGGAAACAGUAUGCUGCUGGUACGUCAUGUGUUCGGAAUCCGGCUCACUACAUACACUUUAAUUAAUUGGGAGAGACCCUUCCUUCCUGGGGAGCCUUGCAAUGUUAGAUGCAUUAGUAACUACCAUUAAGCUUUACUUUGUUCUGUGGCACUCUCUCCCGUUAAUAACCUCUCUGAUGUUGUCGCCCUUUGUUAUGAUUUUAGUCAUCUAGUCAUGUGCUUCGCACGUGUCCAUCCAAAAGAGUCUAUAUGUAUUGCUUUGAGGGCAUUUGCUCAGUAUCAAUUAAAAUCUGAAUAUUUUACUUUCUUUUCUUUUCAUUUCCUUCUGCAUUUCUCUUCGGUUAGGGCUUGUACCCUAACAAUUGGUAUCCAGAGCCAUGAAUCUGGGAGCUAGGCAACCGGCGAUUCCGCCGCUCGGCGUCGAACCUCUUGUGCUCGACGAAGAUUUGUUUCUUCUUGCAAUGAGCCGUGCACUGGAUAACACUUUACCGUCGCUUCAAUCCAAGCUGCAAAGUGUGAUUGAUAAUGUGUUCGAGCAAUUUCGAUUGACAACACCACCACCAGCCUUGUCGCAACCAGUCUACUACCCGCAGCGAUCAUUGGAGCAGUCAUCAACUCCAAUUUCUAAUCCCAAAACUCAAAUUGAGAGAUUGUUCAUUCUCAUCUCUGGAAGGCCUGAAGCAAGCAAGUCGCUCUCAAGUCGACUGCGGCCACCGGAGGAGUGAAGAAACCGCACAAUUUCAGGCUAGGAGCACCCACGCUCCACAAGACCGCCAAAUACCAGAAGUGCAAUUUCCGGAGUUCAGCUGCGUCUCUUCUGCUCGAGGAUGCCAUUUCGGCUCAGUCAAACCUUAACCCUGCUUCUGUUUGCCGGGUGAGUGAUACUGGCACUAGUAUUCUUAAUCUCAAUUUUGUGAGUACUGAUUGCGUUGGCGUAGAUUCUGUGCUUGUUGCAAAAUUGAAUAGGAGUGAUGUGAAUUUCGAAAAUGGAGAGGAUAAAAGUUCUGAUAAGAAGGCUAAGGUGUAUAGUGGAGAUGUGAAAGAGCUUAGUGAGCUUGACGGUGUUAGUGUUAAGCAAGAUGAUCUGCAAGGACCGAAUUUGGGUGAAAAUGGGAGAGAAUGCGAUGCACUCCGCCUGUUUGAUGAAAUGUCACAGUCAUAUGGGUUGUGUGAUGCAGGAAAUAACAUUGUUGGAUACAUGGGCAUUCGAGACAAAGGUGGGGGUCUAGCUUCUCAUUGUACAUUUGUUGAGUACUAUCAAUUGCCAGAGAAGAAAACAGCUACUGAUCAUUUGGACUGCAAGCCUUAUGUGGUUCAUAACGACUUGGGUUCAAAAGAAAAAAGUGCUAGUGCUGUUGCGCAUAGUGAAGCUUUCACUGGUGUCCAUGGAAUCCUGGAGUUAGGAUAUUGUAGAUUGAAUUAUUUUGGUAAAGGUAUCUUAAAGGCUGAGGGGAAUGUGAAUGGCAUCAGUGGACCUGCCUUGAUUGAUAAUGAUCCAAGGGAACAAAUCCAAGUUGACGAUUAUAUGGUUCAACAGCUUGAGAGAAUUAGAAAUGAAUGGGGUUGGAGCAAACAAGAGUUUGGAGAAAAUAUUAUUUCAGCAGUAUCUCUUUAAGUUCGUAAAGCUGGCGCCAAUCUUACUGGAAACAAGACCUUGAUUCUGCAUGUUCCAACCAAAUCUGGUAAUAGCUUCAAACUUACAUUCUCGCUGAUAAUUGCCUUGAUCGAAUUAUGGAAGUAUGGAUAUGUUGAGAAAAAUAUGAGAUGGUUUACUGGGAAUUUAGUGGCUAGUUUUAUAAAUGGGCGCUUGACAUUUCAGCAUGAUUAUAAGCAUAUUUCUUGUGGCAUUAAAUUUAACAGUUUCUUGGUAAAUGGAUAUGAUGAACGCAUAGUUUUCUAUUGCUUUAAAGUGCUCCAAAUGAUGGAUAAAUGGCAGCUGUAUGUUGAAGUAGUAUACAAAGGACUCAGUCACGUGAUUCACACUUCCUUGAAUUUGAAGGCAGUAAUAGAUUUGUCUUUGUGUGCCACCACUGAAUGUGGUACUGUAGCUUUGAAGGUUUGGUUGAGUGGUAACCUUUUGUAUCUACUUCUUGGAAGUAAAUUGGAGAAAUUGAGUUGGUUUUUUGCUGUUAAGUUGGAGAAAUGGGAAGGAAAUGCCAUAAUGAUGUUUGAUAAAUAUUGGGAAAGAUGGUUAUCUUUACUAGUGGCUGCAAAUGAGUGUUCUGCUGGAGGUAGUUUGAAAUGGUUUAGGGAGCGAGAUCUUCCUGUACUUCUGUUAUCACUUUCCAGAGAGCUAGCCAAUGGAGAGAAUCCUAAGAAACUGAAUGUUGUUCUUAAGGAAGGCCGCCUCAAGUUUAAAAAUAGAACAGCUUUUGAUGGGGUAUGGUGUGACUUGAUUACGCUCUGUAUCAUGAUUUAUAGUGCUUUUAAUGAUAAUGCUGGAAAUUUGCUUCAUGAUGACAUAUUUGGGACAAUGGGAUCUGUUGUGAGCUCUCUUGUUGAUAUGUGUGCUCAAUGUGGAACUUUGAAGAAUGCAUACAACAUGUACAAUUGUGCUAGAGCAAUAUCAUUGAAUUGGUUAGUCCAGCUUGAGCUUGAACAACGCAACUGGACUGCUGCAAUUUUUCCUGCAAUAAUCUCAAGUUUCUUACAAGUUACUGAUCACAAGCAAUUAGAGUUUGGAAAUAUGGCAAGACUUGUGGAGGUGAUGUGUAGUAGCGAAAGCAACCAUCAGAGAAGAGUCUGUAGGGUUGGCUUGAGCUUUUCGUGCCAAGAUAUGCUUACAAGUGCUGAUGUUGGUGAUAAUUCUAGCAUGGAAAUGGACUUGGAAAAGAUGGCAGCAGGGGAUUUUCUUGGUAACAUAGCUAAGGUAUUAGGUAUGAUGUUUUGGCAUUAUUUCUCAUCUAUCAGAUAUGAUAUUGAUACAAGUAUAACUGCUGAGUUGUCAAAUGAGAACUGUGAUUACUCUCUUAAAGAUAUCUGGGGUAUUGCUAGACUUGAUUUUGGUUUGAUGAAUUAUGUGGGUGCAAUGUGCCGAGAGGGGUGCAUGAUACUAUUUUCAAAAUAAAAGAUGUUAUGAUAUUAUGGGUUCUACAUGUGAAUGGAAUGGUGCAAGGCUCAUUCCAUCAUCUUCUUCGAUGGGAACUUAUGAAGAAAGGUUGGCAGCUUCAAUUAUUUUUACCUCGUGUUAUUACGCAUGAAAUGGGAGAAGCGUUUACAACUUGGGAGUUGAUACUUGCUAGGGGUGGAUACAGUAAUUGGGAAUGUUCUGGUACACAAGACAAUGAAGGAGAUGAUAGACUUGUUGUAGACAAUGAAGAUGUGAGAGCUGUUGUUUUACAUAAUGAUGGAUUGAUGAUUGUAGAAGAUGAUAUUGCUGAUGGAGACAAGGAAAGUAAUAUUUCCUUGCUUCAGCACAUAUUUGUCCAUUUACAGGGCCUAGCAAUUACGGAUUUGAAACUUCUGAUUAUCCAACAAUACCUCAGUUCAUAUACCUUUUUCUUGGCCUUGGGGUUAAUCUGUGUGAGCACCUGUUCAAGGUAUAUAUCUGCAGACACUGCAAAUCGUCGUCGGUUUCAAAUGACAUCUUGCAAAGGUGCCCAGAUUUUGAUUCAGAAUGUGAAACUUGAGGACAAGUUUGUUUGAGGGGGGAUGAAUUGUUAUGAUUUUAGAGUCAUCUAGUCAUGUGCUUCGCACGUGUCCAUCCAAAAGAGUCUAUAUGUAUUGCUUUGAGGGCAUUUGCUCGGUAUCAAUUGAAAUCUGAAUAUUUUACUUUCUUUUCUUUUCAUUUCCUUCUGCAUUUCUCUUCAGUUAGGGCUUCUACCCUAACACUCUUUAGAUUGAACAAACCCGAAUUGAGGGCCAGAGUGAGUUUUCUCUUUAGAAUUGGGACAUACCUAGUCAAUAUGUUUGAUCUUGUUCACAAACGACUUCAAUAGUUCCCUCCUUCAAGUCAUGCGAACCCCGUCCUUUACGUUCAACAGACUUAUUGUCACCAUUCACCACGCAGUAGACUAAGAACAGUUGUCUUUGGAAAACAAGAGUCGUCUAUGGUUGGAACUUGGAAGCAAGUGACUAGAGUCAAGUCUUCUUGUGGAAGAAUGUAAAAGUGGUUUUCCAUCCCUUUCAGUGCUUGUUGAUCACGCAUUCUUAAUCUCACUAUCCUAUAAGUUAGAUUGUCAUGCCUCCCACAAAACUACCUAUUUCGCAACAAAACACCACCCAUAUUUAGUCUGUGUCUCUGUAGUCCAAAGAAGGAGUCAACAAUGGGGAAAAUUUUGGUUAUGAAAUUGGUUAUGAUAUCCUCAUUAUUAGUUUUAAACUGUUGUAGCUCCAUUCAAGUGAACCCUCGGAGAGUACUCCAGGGGAAUGAGACGGAUAGGCAGGCACUGCUAGCAAUCAAAGAUCAAAUUCAACACGAUCCGAACCAGGUCACAAGCUCAUGGAAUGACACUCUUCACUUCUGCCUGUGGCACGGCGUCACUUGCAGUCGACGACAUCGCCAAAGGGUGACGAAGCUGGAGCUUGACUCUCUGGAGUUGGUGGGUUCCAUAUCUCCAUACAUAGGAAAUCUAAGCUUCUUAAGAAAGCUAGAUCUCGAGAACAACAGCUUCACUCAUCACAUCCCUCCUCAAAUUGGACAUUUGCACAGACUGAAGGUACUGUCUCUAAAUAAUAACUCACUUAGUGGUAGUAUUCCUCCCAACAUAUCCAAUUGCUUUCAACUCAUCACUCUUGAUCUUGCUUUUAACAUUCUGGUGGGUAAAAUUCCUCCCCAACUCAGUUCGUUAUCAAAGCUUGCAUAUUUUAAUUUGCAAAAAAACAAUUUAACAGGAGAGAUCCCUCAUUCUUUGGGGAAUCUUUCGUCUCUCGAGAUAUUUGGUUCAACCUUUAAUUCCUUAGAAGGAAGAAUCCCCAGUUCUCUAUGCCAGUUACAAAAAUUAAAGAUUCUUUAUUUCGGACAAAAUAGGUUAUCAGGUAUCUUCCCCUCCUGUAUUUUUAAUCUCUCUGGUAUAAUUGAAUUCGAAAUAUCAGGAAACCAACUUCAAGGUAGUCUUCCGUCAAACUUGGGCUUUAAUCCCAAGCUUGAAACCUUCUCCAUUGGUGGGAAUCAAUUUACUGGGGCCAUCCCUCUGUCAAUUUCCAAUGCAACAAAUCUUGUGUGGCUUGAAUUUGGAUCUAAUAAUCUCACUGGACGUGUGCCAAAUGUAAAAAAUCUUCAAUACCUGACGACGUUCAGUGUCAGUGAUAAUAAUCUUGGAAGCGGUAAACAUGGUGACUUGAGUUUCUUCUCAGAAUUGAUCAAUGCCUCACAGCUAAGUGUGUUUGACUUUGGCUACAAUAAUUUUGGAGGGGCAUUGCCUACAUCAAUAUCCAAUCUCUCGACCAGUCUCCAAAUCUUAGGAAUUGGAGUAAACAUUCUGCAUGGAAGUAUCCCGAUCGGAUUAGGAAAUCUUGUGAACUUGCGGUUACUCUCUCUUGGGCACAACUCCUUCACAAAUAGCAUCCCCAACGACAUCGGGAAGAUUUCAGGGCUUCAGAAAUUGUUUCUUAACAACAAUGAAUUAUCAGGGAGAAUUCCAUCCACUCUAGCAAAUUUAACUUUGUUAACACUUCUCCAAUUGCAAGAAAAUAAUCUAGAGGGUAGCAUUCCUCCCACCCUUGGGAAUUACCGUUGGUUACUAGAAUUGGGUCUUUCUGGAAACAAUCUCAACGGCACGAUACCUCCUCAGGUUAUUGGCCUCUCAUCUUUAUCAACAGUUUUGGCAUUGCAGAGAAACCAAUUCACCGGUUCCCUUCCGACGGAGAUUGGCAAAUUGAAGAAUUUAGGCGCACUAGAUGUUUCUAACAAUAUGUUGUCAGGAGAACUUCCCAGUAGCCUGGGUAGUUGCGAGAGCUUAGAAGCUUUAUACUUGGAUGGCAACUUCUUCUCGGGGUCCAUUCCUUCAUCUAUGAAGGACUUGAGAGGGAUUCAAUAUUUAGACCUUUCUCGAAACAAUUUGUCAGGAGAGAUUCCACAGUUUUUCGAGUGGUUUGGAAACUUGAAGAAUCUCAACCUGUCCUUCAAUCAGUUUUGGGGUGUAGUGCCAACUGGUGGUAUUUUCAAGAAUGCAACAGCGUCAUCAGUUGCAGGAAAUACAAGACUAUGCGGCGGUGUUGCUACUCUCCGACUUCCUGUGUGCAAGCCUAAUGAGUCUAAAGGAGGAGGAGGGUUGUCAAGGAGAAUGAAACUACUGAUCUCUUUAGUUUCCGGGUUUAGUCUUUUGGGAUUUGUUGUCGUGCUGUCUCUUUUCCUUCUUGGUAAGAAAAGGAAAGAAGCUAAAUCAAGCAAUUUGGGAAACUCUUUUUUGCAAGUUUCAUAUGCUACGCUCCUGAAAGCCACCGUGGGUUUUUCGUCUACUAAUUUGAUCGGUGUGGGGGCUUUUGGGUCUGUGUACAAAGGAAUUCUUGCUGAAGAUAGAGUUGUUGUCGCUGUGAAGGUGUUUAACAUGUUACAUCGGGGAGCCUCUAAGAGUUUCAUCUCUGAAUGUGAGGCAUUGAGAAACAUCAGACAUCGAAAUCUGGUCAAGAUAGUAACUGCAUGCUCAAGUACUGAUUUCAGCGGCAAUGAUUUCAAGGCUCUUGUUUACGAGUUCAUGGACAACGGGAGCUUGGAGGAAUGGUUGCAUCCAUCAACUAAAGCUGAAGAGGUAAUAGAAGCACCCAAAACCUUAAGUCUUGUUCAGAGGCUCGACAUUUCCCUUGAUGUUGCUAGCGCAUUGGAUUAUCUUCACAACCAUUGUGAAACACCGAUUGUUCAUUGUGAUCUCAAGCCAAGUAAUGUUCUUUUGGAUAGUGACAUGACUGGACAUGUUUCCGACUUUGGGCUGUCAAGGUUUCUCAAAGACCCAACCCCGAGUGUUUCUGGAAAUCAAUCAAGCUCUAUUGGAAUCAAAGGAACGGUUGGUUAUGCUGCACCAGGUAAUUUUUCUCAUAUGCGUCAGACUUUUCUCUUCCCAUGUUUUAGUGUAACAAAUUUCAAAACCAAUGAGAGUUAUUAUUUAUGCACAGAUAUAGUGACAAAUAUUUGUGAUAUUGUUUGAACUGUAGAGUAUGGCAUGGGAGGUGAUGUAUCUACAUACGGGGAUGUCUACAGCUUUGGCAUUCUCUUGUUAGAGAUGUUUACAGGGAAGAAACCUACUGAUCACAUGUUCAGCGACAACUUGAAUCUUCAUAAUUAUGUGAAGGCAGCUCUCCCUGGACGUACUUUAGAGAUUUCAGAACCACUACUUCAAGGCACAAUCAAUGUUGUUGAAGCUCACAGGCACAAUAGUGUGAGAGUCGAGAAAACUGAAGAGUGCUUGGCUUUGAUUCUUGGUAUAGGAAUCGCAUGUUCAGUCGAAUCCCCCACAAACAGAAUGGAUAUCAGUGAUGUUGUGUCUGAAUUGCAAUCCAUUAGGCGCAAUCUUCUCUGCUAGAACUUUCAUAUUAUUAAUGUACGUUCUUGAAUUGUGUCUCAAAGUCAUGUCUACUGUAUCUAUAUAGUGGUUUCUUGAAAUUCGCAUGUAAAUGUUAUAAAAAGUCAUGAAAUAAAGUCCUACUUAUUGUGUAAGUUUGUUAUCCUAUACCGAAAAGCUACAUGAUCCCAUUUGGAUCAAUGAAUCAACUUAGAGUUGUCAUCAGCUUUAUCAGUUGUACGUCAUCAACCCAAAAUUCAAUUUGUUGUGUUGUCAUUUGUAUUUUACCAAGUGAGCAUGAAAUUGAUACUGAGCAUGUUUUAGAAGAACUUGAUAUUGAGCAGGGAAAAAAAUGCAGACAGUAUCUCAUAUUUACUAUUCCACUUUAAGAAACUGUCAUAUUGGAAUCCUAAACAUCUCAGCUGAAAAUGUCAAUGUCAACCUCAAUGUAAACCUCAAUGUGAAUGUCUCUGUGCAUGAAGAAUAUGGAGCUGAUAAUGAUGGUGCUAUGCCAUCUCAACAAAGCAAUCUAGUGCUUCAGGUAGCUUACAACAUAGUUUACCUUAUUUACUUUAGGAUAUAAGUACUUCUUGUUAGUAAAUUUAGUUAUGGUUUUGUUGUUGGUGUACUAGCUUCAUGUAAUUCUGGAAUGUCACAGGAAGAAUCCGCUCCACCUUCAACUUCAUGAAAGAGAUACAAGACUGCUGCAAGGAGGCAAAACCCAAGAAAUUCAACAAGGAUUGUUGAAGCAGCUGCUUCGGCAGUCAGCAGAAUGUUUGAAGGUCCAAAGAAGGGCGUGCAGAAGACGCUGUGAUCUCAAUCCAUGAAGGGCUCAUGAUAUAUGAUACAGUCUCCCCAUUACAAGUGAAAAGUUGUGAGUUGGACUCGCAAAAGACUAGUGGUAGCCUUAAGUUUUUUAUAUGAUGAAGAAAUGACUUACUAGCCGAUUGUUUUUUCUUUUCAAAGAUGGACGGGGUAUAUGUAUAAUGUUCCUCAUGCAUGUUCAACUUUUCUAUUCAUAGUAUAAAGGCACCAGUCUUUUCAAAUAAAUCAAGUCGUCUUUGGUUGGUUUUCUAUCUUCCUCUGCCAAUAAUAGACAAUUGAUUAUCUUCCUAUCCCAAUAAUUAAGUAGUCUUUGGUUGGUUUUGUUAUCCAGACGAUUUCAAACAUCUUCCUUCAAAACUGACUGCCUAGUAGAAAUGAUGUGUUAAAGUGUAAUUGAGCAAGUUUAUCAUAUUGCUUAGCUAGAAAACAUUGAAAUACAUCAAAUUUGUUGCUUGAGGAAAUUACAACACAUCUAGUUUAUGUUGUACGAGAGUCUAGGAAAAAUCAGUGCAUAGAUUAUGAACUUUGUCCUUGGUUGUAAUUACUGAAAAGCAGAGGAAAACAGAGAUACAUUUAUAGAAGAAAAUAAGAUUGAACAAAACAGAGGAAAACAGAGAUACAUGCUUAGAAGUUAGAAUAAAAACAACCUUGCUAGAGAUGGAAGUGAGGCAUGAAGUAUCAACACAUUGGGAUGCCUACAGCUUUGUUGAGCAUUCUAUUCUUCCCUUGAUUAUAAUCAAUAAAUUACUUUGAUAGAGGUCAUUACAAUAGAGUUGAGGAAGAAAACAGUCGGUCGUAUUUGGCAAACCGCCAUGAGCAAUAAUUAAGUCGGCCAAAUUGGUGCAUGAAUUAUCAAGUUAUCCAAUUAAACCGUCAUCCAUAUUCUACAACUCCUCCUAUCCUAUAAAUUAGAUCAAGACAGUGAUGAGAUGACACCAGUUACACCACCCAUAUUUCUAUCUCAGUCUCUAUUGUCCAAAGAAUAAUUUUUCUAAAUAAAAAUGGGUGGAUUUGCGGUUAUGAAAUUGGUUUUGAUCGUAUCGUCACUUUUUUUAAACUGUUGCAACUCCGUGCAAUUGAACCAGCCGAGAGUACUCCAGGGGAAUGAGACGGAUAGGCAGGCACUGCUAGCAAUCAAAGAUCAAGUACGACACGAUCCGAACCAGGUCACAAGCUCAUGGAAUGAAUCCCUUCACUUCUGCCUGUGGAACGGCGUCACAUGCAGUCGACGACAUCGCCAAAGGGUGACAAAGCUGGAGCUUGACUCUCUGGAGUUGGAGGGAUCCAUAUCACCACAAGUAGGAAAUCUAAGCUUCUUAUGAGUGCUAAAUCUCGAGAACAACAGCUUCACUCACCAAAUCCCUCCUCAAAUCGGGCAUUUGCGUAGAUUGCAGGUAUUGUUUCUAAACAAUAACUCGCUUACUGGCACCAUUCCUCCCAACAUUUCCAAUUGCUUCAAACUCAUCACUCUACGUCUUGAAGAAAACAAUCUAGUGGGUCAAAUUCCUCCCCAACUCAGUUCCUUGUCAAAGCUUAAGAAUUUCUUUUUGGGAGACAAUAAUCUAACAGGAGAAAUCCCUCCUUUGGAGAACCUUUUGUCUCUUGCGAGUUUUUCAGCUGUUUCUAAUAAGCUGGAAGGAAGCAUCCCUAGUUCUCUAUGCCAGUUAAAUAAGCUAAAAUAUAUCUACCUGGCUGACAAUCUGUUAUCUGGUAUCAUCCCUUCCUGCAUUUAUAAUCUCUCUCGUAUAGUCGAAUUUGAGCUAACACUCAACCAAAUUCAAGGAAGUCUUCCAGCAAACUUUAUCAAUGCUUUUCCCAACCUUGAAUGGUUUUCCAUUGCCUACAACAAUUUUACUGGGGCCAUUCCUUCAUCACUAUCCAAUGCAACCAAGCUUGUCUUGUUUCAAGGUGCAUUCAAUUAUUUUACUGGACAAGUGCCAAAUUUACAAAAUCUUCAUAACCUUGUGGUCUUUAAUGUCGUUGAAAAUGAUCUUGGAAGCGGUAAACAAGGUGACUUGAAUUUUAUCUCAGACCUGAACAACGCCACACAGCUGAAUUGUUUAGGGUUGAGCUACAACAAGUUUGGAGGAACGAUUCCCACAUCAUUAUCCAAUCUCUCAACCGAUCUCAGGUGGCUUCAAAUAGGAGGAAACAAUCUACAUGGAAGCAUUCCAACUGGGUUAGGGAAUCUUGAGAGCAUGAAUGUACUCGGUAUGGAGAAGAACAACCUCAGCGGUAGCAUCCCCACAGAAAUUGCGAAACUUUCAAGGCUUGGGCAAUUGUUACUAAAUGACAACAAAUUUUCUACGAGCAUUCCAUCUUCUAUUGGAAAUUUAACAAUGUUAAACAUUCUCCACUUGCAAGGUAACAAUUUCAAUAACAGCAUCCCUUCAAGUCUAGGAGAGUGUCAUGGGUUGGAAGUGUUGGAUCUAUCUCGAAAUAACUUAGAUGGCGAAAUACCUCAGCAAUUACUUACUGGUCUUCUCUCUUUAUCAAUUUCUUUGAACUUGUCAUCAAACUACUUUACUGGUUCCCUUCCAUAUGAGAUUGGUGUUGAUGUAGUUGUGUUUGUGGUUAUGGCUGAUGAAGGAAAAACUGCUUCAAAGGCACGUAAGUAUUUACGCUGUCCUUUAGACUUUAUUUGCCCCACAACUAGUGUGCAAAGGGGUCUGAUCAAAUAAGCCUUUAGGAUACAAUGAAACCUAGCACUUGCUAUUGUUGUUCUUCGUUUUGCACUCACGAAGAUCAACCUUACACUCGAUUAAAGGUUUACAAGUAACUCAAGGUUGCUAGAAACUAUAUCUGCAGUUUUAUAGUUUCUAGAUUUUUGCUGGUGUUAAGAAAAUAUAGAUGGAGGUUUGAGAAGAGAGAAACAGGUUUCCUGAUAUGAGAAUAUGCAGAAGAACUUAUUCCUAUAUAUAGGAAUAGUCGUGCCUUUCCAGAAUAUUGACAUACCUUUUCAUUUUGUUUUAAAACUCUUCAGCAAGAGUUAUUUACAAUUGCCAACAGUCAUAUACAAUAGCAACUGAUAUGCCUUUUCAUUACAUACAUGUCUCUUGGUUGGGCAUAUACUGUUUCAGAACUCUCUUUUUAUAAUUUGAAAAUCUCUCUAACAAUUGGAAAGUUGAAGGCACUAGGAAAGUUAGACAUUUCUAACAAUAUGUUGUCAGGAGAACUCCCAAUUAGCCUCAGUAGUUGUCAGAGUUUAGAAUGUUGGGUUUCACGCAGCGGAUUGGUCAACAAGAUAUGAUAUCGAGAAUGCAACUAUAAUAGGGAAAAACAAACACACACAACAACACAAGAUUUAACGUGGUUCCCUCACUCUUUGAGGUACGUCCACUGGGCGUGAUCCGAUCUUUCUUCACUAUUGAGAAUAAUGAGAACUAAAUACAAGGUGUUUCACUCAAGUUUAUAACCCAAACCCGAACCCUUGAACCCUUGUACACCCCUCUCAACUCACACUCUCAAUACCCAGUAAAGCUAACUCUCUUACAACACUUGCAAAGGCUUUAUGGCUAUUUAUAGCCAACUCCUUCACUUACGACAUGCAGAACCAUGCAUAGAAGAAAAGCAAAGUCUUGUUUUUCCAUCUUUCCCGUUCAAUAUUUCUACACCAAUAGUAUGAAACUAUUACCAAUAGUUCUCAACUAUUGUUUUCUCUACAUGCAUGUUCUCACUCUUUCUCUAUGCAUUCUACAUUCUCACAUGGGACUUGUUCUCUUACUUCAAAUAUGGCUGCACCACCCUAGCUAUAUCUAGUUCCAUAGCACAAUAAAUGAUCAACUUCUCAUGCAUUUACCUUGUGCAUAUUGCAGCCAAUUUCUUCCAUUCAAACAAUACUACACCUCUAGAAAACAUAGCAUUAAUUUUGAGCCACAUCUCAACAUAGAAGUCCUACAUUUGCAAGGCAACUUCUUCAACGGGCUCAUCCCUUCAGCUAUGAAGAACUUGAGAGGGAUUCGAGAUUUAGACCUAUCUCGCAACAAUUUCUCAGGAGACAUUCCACAGUAUUUCGAGCGCUUUGGAAAGCUAGAAAAUCUCAACCUAUCCUUCAAUCAGUUCUGGGGAGCGGUUCCAACUGGUGGUGUUUUCAAAAAUGCGACAGUGAAUUCAGUUGCUGGAAACUCUAGACUCUGCGGCGGUAUAUCUAAUCUUCGACUUCCUUUUUGCAAGUCUAAAAAAGGAGGGUUGUCUCGUAGAAUGAAACUAAUGAUCUCUCUAGUUUCUGGGUUCACUCUAUUGGGACUGGUUGUGGUGCUGUCUCUUUUUCUUAUUCGUAAGAAAAGGAAAGAGACCAAAUUAAGCACUUUGGGAAACUCUGUAUUGCAAGUUUCAUAUGCUACGCUCCUAAAAGCUACUGAUGGUUUUUCUUCAGCUAACUUGGUUGGUGCGGGUGCUUUUGGGUCUGUGUACAAAGGAAUUCUUGCAAAUGACGGAGUUUUUGUUGCUGUAGGUUCUUAACAUGCAACACCGAGGAGCAUCUAAGACCUUUAUGGCUGAAUGUGAGGUGUUGAGAAAUGUCAGACAUCGAAAUCUGGUCAAGAUCAACAGCAUGUUCAAGUAUUGAUUUCAGCGGCAAUGACUUCAAGGCUCUUGUUUACGAGUUCAUGGACAAGGGGAGCUUGGAGGAGUGGUUGCAUCCAUCUACUAGAACUGAAGAGGUAACAGAAGCACCCAAAAUUCUAAGUUUUAUUCAGAGGCUCUGCAUUGCCAUUGAUGUUGCUAAUGCAUUGGAUUAUCUUGGCAACCACUGUGAAAUACCGAUCGUUCAUUGUGAUCUCAAGCCAGGUAAUGUUCUUUUGGAUUGUGACCUGACUGGACAUGUUUCCGACUUUGGGCUGUCAAGGUUUCUCCCAUUGACCAUGAGUGUUUAUGGAAAUCAAUCAAGCUCUAUUGGAAUUAGAGGAUCAAUUGGUUAUGCUGCACCAGGUAAUCUUUUCAUUUUAGUGUAACAUAUUUAAAAUACAAUGAGCUAUUAUUGAGUUAUGCUGACAAAUUUUUGUGAUAUUGUUUGAACUGUAGAGUAUGGUAUGGGAAGUGAAGUAUCCACAUACGGGGAUGUCUACAGCUUUGGCAUUCUCUUGUUAGAAAUGUUUACGGGGAAGAGACCCACUGAUCACAUGUUCACUGAAGGUUUGAAUCUUCAUAAUUAUGUGAAGACAGCUCUCCCUGAACGUAUUUAGAGAUUUCAGAACCACUACUUCUUCAAGAAACCUCCACCAGUGCCGCUGAUGCUCACAUGCCCAACCAAUUGAGUGUAAGAACACAAAAAUUUGAAGAGUGCUUGAUUUUGAUACUUGGUAUAGGACUCGCCUGCUCUGUUGAAAGGAUAUCAGUGAUGUUGCAUCUGAGUUGCAAUAUAUUAGGCGCAAUCUACUUAGCUAGCUAGAACUUUCAAAUAGUUUAUGUAUUGUGAUGGCUUUUAUAGUCUUGUAGUUCUUGUAUUCUGUUAUGUUCUGUUCUUGAAUUGUUUCUGGAAGGUCCUUUUUUCACUAUCGUGGUUCUUGAAACUUGCAUGUUAUUGUACUAUAUAUAUUGGAUAAAAGAGGUACUACUACUUAUUGCGUAAAUCUGUUAUCCUAAAUAGAAAUGUUAGUAUAGGCCCAAUCCGUAAUAUAACAGGUCCAAUCCUUAUCUGCACCACUGGUGACGUCAUCAACUUGGAAAACAAGUCGCCUUCCUGCUCUACAUAUUAAGCCAAUCUCUUUCUGCCAAUCUGUUUUCUUUUCUCUUCAAGCUUAUCAAUUUCAUCUUUGUUUUUGUAUCAAUAACCAGAAAUAUCAAGUAUUGUUUUCUCUUUUCUUUGUUUUUCUUCAUUUUCUGAGAAUAGAAUAGUUUUCUUGUUCAUCAAUUAUCAAAUCAUGACCAUGGUAGUUUUUUUAGCACGAAACACAUAUCAUUCCGACAGAUCAUUGAAAGAUGGUGCUUUUCAUCAGCUUGAUCAGUUCACUACAAGAAAAAUAAGGUUUACUAUGAUUUCUUUGAUUGCUCGUCUCUUCCUUUCAUCCCAGCUUUAUAGGUAACACCAGGGGUAAAUUAUAGUGUUUCAUUUGGAUUCACAAUAAGGACGUAAUUUGCUCUAAAAAUUUGUAGUUGAGGAACCAAGUAGUACUAGACCUUCUAUUUGUGUCAAGUUGUGAUGAUGGCAGUGUGUAUCAUAUUAUGGUAUACAACGUACUGGUUCUCCUUAUUGGAGCUUAUCAUUCAAUAUAUCUAUUAUCUAUUAUCUCCUUACAUACAACCAAUGGUUUUAUAAAUUUAUAAUAUGGUAGUGCUGGUACAUGAUAAUAUCCAUCCCAAUAUACCAUGCCAUUAUAUAUAUCUUCCUUAUGGUCAAGUGCAUACUGUGCAUUAUAGAGGAUUGUUAUGUGAUAUCUAGUGCUAUAUGUCACCAGUGUUGAAGCUUUUGCCGUUGAGCUGUCUGAUUGGCUAAGGUGUUUAGUUAACAACUUUGAGGUUAUAGGUUCAAACCAAAAUGGGCAUAUGUAGAGUGUUUGAGUUAUUUAAUUUUUUUUUUGUUUUUUAAAAAAAAAGCUCACCAGAGUAUGAAAAACUGAAAUGCUAUUUGUAAAUUAUAAUUUUGUCUAUAAGCUUAUCAUGAAAAUGCUAUUUCAAAGCUUACCAUGAAGAGGUGAUUAAGUGUUUAACUAUCGGUCUGAUCAGUUUUACUACAUCAAACCGACUUGCAGCGAACUGAAACUACUAAAAUGUUAAUCUUAAGCUUGGAUUAACAAUCAACGCAUAGAAUAUGGACUUUUUAUUGGCGUGUAAUUACUGGAAUGCAAAGUAGAAAAUAAAAUUGUAGAAGAAAAUCAGUACAUAUUAUUGAACAAAACAGAGGAAAACAGAGACGACUACAGACCUGCUUCAAAGCUGAAUCCAAUAAUUACUGGUACACACCAAAAACAGUCGGAAGAAAGAUGCAUUACUGGUACAGUUGUACUGGUUUGAGGAAUGUAAAAUUUUACUGCAUUUUCGAUUUUUCCUAAGUGAUUGUAGUUGAGUGAUUUCUUAAGGUGAUGUUUCAUUUAGGUGGAAGAAGAUGUACCAGGAACCCAAGAAAAGGUGUAUAUACUUGCUUUCCUAGAUAAUAAUUUAGCUGGAGAGGUCUCUCCUUCCUUGGGGAACCUGUCUAUAGCCUUUCACUUUUCUAGGGACAAUCGUAGCAAUAACAACUAAAUUAAUGAAGAUUUUAUCAUUAGGCUCUUGUUACCCUUUAAAUUGAAAAUAACCAAAUUGAGAAAGAAUGUCUUGAAGAAACCUUUCCUAGCACUGCAACUUCUAACAUAGCCGAGAACAUAUUAAGAGGGUCCAUUCCAUCAAAUUUCAAUGCAAUAAGUAUUCUGUCACUUUCUCUUUGCCUUGAAGUCCAAGCCAAUGCCAUAUGCUGCGCGGUAUACCUCACCUCAGCAAAGCUAUUAGCCUCCCCUCCUUGACAAUGGAAUGGACUAGCCAGGAACAGAGAGCAUCCACAUAUAAAGAUAUUUUCCUUUCUUUUCCAUCUUAUCCUAGAACUAAAACAAUAUGAACAUUCCAUUUGGAUCAAUCAAUCCCUCUUGCUGGAAUCUGAACUUUGAUUAGAGUUCCUAUUUAACUUUGAGCAAGUCAAGUCAGUCUUCUUCUGGUAGAAUGCAAUUAAUGAGUCAAGCAAUCAACUCUGGGGUUCUCUAGCCCUUUGAGUACUUGUUGAUCACAUAUUCACAUAUUCUAAAUCUUCCUAUCCUAUAAACUAGAUCGUCAUGCCUCUCAUAGAACUACCAAUCACCACUCAUACUUAGCUCAGUCUCUUGGUCCAAAUGAAAGAAUCGAAAAUGGGGAGAUUUUUGGUUAUGGAAUUGGUUCUGGUAUCUUCAUUAAUAGUUUUGAACUGUUGUAGCUCCAUGCGGUUGAACCAUCCGAGGGGAAUGAGACGGAUAGGCAGGCACUGCUAGCAAUCAAAGAUCAAAUACAACACGAUCCGAACCAGAUCACAGGCUCAUGGAAUGAAACGCUUCAUUUCUGCCUGUGGCAAGGCAUCACAUGCAGUCGAAGACAUCGCCAAAGGGUGACGAAGCUGGAGCUUAGCUCUCUGGAGUUGGUGGGUUCCAUAUCUCCAUACAUAGGAAACCUAAGCUUCUUAAGAGUGCUAGAUCUUGAGAACAACAGCUUCACUCAUCAAAUCCCUCCUCAAAUCGGGAAUUUGCGUAGACUGCAGGUAUUGUAUCUAAACAAUAACUCACUUACUGGCACCAUUCCUCCCAACAUAUCCAAUUGCUUCCAACUCACCGAGCUCGAUCUUUAUAAAAACAAUCUUGUCGAUAAAAUUCCUGCUCAGCUCAUUUCCUUGUCAAAGCUUCAGUUUUUGGUUUUUGAUAAUAACAAUUUAACAGGAGAGAUCCCUCCUCUUUUGGGGAACCUUUCGUCUCUUGAGUUAUUUGGUAUAACUUCUAAUAACUUCGCAGGAAGCAUACCUAGUUCUCUAUGCCAGUUGAAAAAUCUAAUAUAUUUAGAUUUGGGCAUAAAUAAUUUGUCUGGUAUCAUCCCAUCAUGCAUUUAUAACAUCUCUAGUAUAGUUGAAUUUGAGGUAACAUCCAAUCAAAUUCAUGGAAGCCUUCCCUCAAACUUGGGCAUUGCUUUUCCCAACCUUCAAUGGUUCUCUAGUGCCGAUAAUCAUUUUACUGGGGCCAUCCCUUCAUCAUUAUCCAAUGCAACAAAUCUUGUGGUCUUUCAGUGUUCAUUCAACAAACACAUUGGACAGGUGCCAAAUUUACGAAACCUUCGUAACCUUGUGAAAUUCAGAGUCACUGAAAAUAAUCUUGGAAGCGGCAAACUUGGUGACUUGAGUUUUGUCUCGGACUUGAUCAAUGCCACACGACUGCUUCGGUUGGAAUUCAGCUACAACAAAUUUGGAGGAACGUUUCCCACAUCAAUAUUCAAUCUCUCAACCAAUCUGGUGAGUCUUUUAAUUGGAGGUAACUAUCUACACGGAAGCAUCCCAGGUGGGUUAGCGAAUCUUGUGAAGUACUGGGUAUGGGGAAAAAUAACUUCGAAGGUAGCAUCCCCACAGAUCUCGGGAAAGUUUCAAGGCUAGGGCAAAUUUUUCUUGAUAGCAACAAAUUUUCCGGGAGCAUUCCAUCUUCUUUUGGAAACUUAACAGUGUUAAACGGUCUUUACUUGAGUGGAAAUAAUCUCAACGGCACCAUCCCUUCAAGCCUACAAGCAUGUCACGGGUUGGAAGUGUUAGAUCUUUCUCAAAAUAACUUAGAUGGCAAGAUACCUCCACAGUUACUAAACGGUCUCCUCUCUUUAUCAAUUUCUUUAAACUUGUCAACAAACCGCUUUAUUGGCUCCCUUCCAGUUGAGAUUGGAAAGUUGAAGGCUCUAGGUCAGCUAGACAUCUCUAACAAUAUGAUAUCGGGAGAACUUCCCGGUAGCCUCGGUAGUUGCCAAAGCUUAGAAUUCCUACACUUGCAAGGCAACUCCUUCAACGGACUCAUCCCUUCAUCUAUGAAGGACUUGAGAGGGAUUCGAGAUUUAGACCUGUCUCGCAACAAUUUCUCAGGUGAUAUUCCACAGUAUUUCGAGGGCUUCCGAUACUUGGAGAAUAUCAACUUAUCCUUCAAUCAGUUUUUGGGAGCAGUGCCAACUGGUGGUGUUUUCAAGAAUGCAACAGCUACUUCAGUUGCUGGAAAGGCUAGACUGUGCGGCGGUAUUGCUAGUCUUCGGCUUCCUGUGUGCAAGUCUAAUGAGUCUAAAGGAGGAGGAUUGUCCCGUAAAAUGAAAAUACUGAUCUCUCUAGUUUUCGGAUUCAGUCUUUUGGGAGUUGUUGUGUUGCUGUGUCUUUUGCUUCUCGGUAAGAAAAGGAAAGAAGCUAAAUUAAGCACUUCGGGGAACUCUGUCUUGCAAGUUUCAUAUGCUACACUCCUAAAAGCUACUGAUGGUCUUUCUUCAGAUAAUAUGAUUGGUGUGGGGGCAUUUGGAUCCGUGUACAAAGGAAUUCUUGCAGAUGAUAGAGUUGUUGCUGUGAAAGUGCUAAACAUGUUACACCGAGGUGCAUCUAAGAGUUUCAUGGCCGAAUGUGAGGCUUUGAGAAAUAUCAGGCAUCGAAAUUUGGUCAAGAUCUUAACUGCAUGUUCAAGUAUUGAUUUCAGCGGUAAUGAUUUCAAGGCUCUUGUUUACGAGUACAUGGACAAUGGUAGCUUGGAGGAGUGGUUGCAUCCAUCUACUAAAGCUGAAGACGUAACAGGAGCACCCAAAACUUCAAGUCUUAUUCAGAGGCUCGGCAUUGCCAUUGAUGUUGCCAGUGCGUUGGAUUAUCUUCACAACCAUUGUGAGACACAAAUCAUUCAUUGCGAUCUCAAGCCAAGUAAUGUCCUUUUGGAUAGCGACCUGAAUGGACAUGUUUCUGACUUUGGGUUGUCAAGGUUUCUCUCAAAACCAACCACAAUUGUUUCUGGAAAUCAAUCAAGCUCCAUUGGAAUUAGAGGAUCUGUUGGUUAUGCUGCACCAGGUAAGUUUACUCAUAUGCUUCAAAAUAUUAUAUUCACCUUUUUUUGGUGCAAGUGUGCAACAUACUUCAAAAACAAUGAUCCUAAUCUAUCUAUGCACAAAUGUAUUGACAAAUAUUUGUGAUGUUGUUUGAACUGUAGAGUAUGGUAUGGGAAGUGAGGUAUCCACAUGCGGGGAUGUCUACAGCUUUGGCAUUCUUUUGUUAGAAAUGUUUACCGGGAAGAGACCAACUGAUCACAUGUUUAGUGAUGGCUUGAAUAUUCAUAAUUAUGUGAAGACUGCUCUACCUGAACUUGUUCUAGAGAUUUCAGAAUCACUAGUUCUUCAAGAAGGCACCGCCAAUGUCGCUGAAGCUCUCAAACAGAGCCGAUUGAGUGUGAGAGCACAGAAAAUUGAAGAGUGCUUGACUUUGAUACUUGGCCUAGGAAUUGCAUGUUCUGUAGAAUCCCCCACAAACAGAAUGGAUACAAGUGAUGUUGCAUCUGAAUUGCAAUCCAUAAGGCGCAACCUUCUCGGCUAGCACCUUUUAAAGUUCUAAUAUUUUGGGAUGGCUAAUUAACUGUUGUAUGGUUCUUAAUUAUAUUCUGUGAUGUUUUGUUUUUGAAUUGUGUCUGAAAGUCGUGCUGCUACUAUAGUAGUUCUUGAUAUUUGCAUGUUAAUGUACUAAUGAAAGUGAAUAAAACAGAGUACUGUUUAUCAUGUAGAUGUGUUAUUCUAACUCGAAGCACGUACGUACAUGAUCCCAUUCGGAUGAAUGAGUCAAGUUAAUUAGAGCAGUCAUCAGCUUGAUGAGUUGUACACUUGUACUAUACAAACUCGGACGUUCAUUAUGUGGUCUUUUACCAAGGGAGCAUGAAAUUGAUACUGAGCGUGUACGUUUUAUUUAUUUAUUUAUUUAUUUAUUUUUUAAAGGGAGGUCAUUCAAAACUGAUAUCUCUCCUUCUUUUGGGAACUUGUGGCUCCAAUACCCUUUACAUUCUAGAAAACAAAACUGGAAAAUAAUGGCAUGGAAAAACCUCUCCUAGCAUUGAAAUCGUUUAACAUAGCUGCUGGUAUACACAUCAACAAAUUAAGCUAUUUUCCUGCCCUCCUUGACUUUGGACUGGAAUAGCCAGGAACAGAUAGCUAACAUCUGCAUAAGGCCUAAGAUUUGUGGCUUUAAUCCUAGAUGACAUGCUAUGUCACCAAGACAUAUUAUUAAUUAAAAAGAUUAUGUUAUGUCAUUUUUAAAUAAAAAUACAAUCUUGUCCUUUUAAAUCCAAUGGCUCUAAAUUAUUUUGUCUUUUUAUUUAAAGAAAAAAAUACUUUGUCUUUGUUUUAUAUAAAACUAUAUAUUUCUAGCCUUUUCUUUCUUUUUUUUUCUUUUUUUUUUCCUUGUUCAUCACUCUAUACAUAUAUUUUUGAGAAUAUACAAUUUUUUGAGAAGAAGAAGAAGAAGAAUAUACUAGGUUGUUCUAAAAUGCGGAUUCUUAUGAAUAUAUAUACACAUAUAAUUUGUUCAAGAUAAAAAAAAAUUCGUCCAAGAACAAAGCAAUUGUGUUUGUUCAUUUUCUACUUCAUUUCCUUUUGAAGGCCUCAUUGGAGAUAAAGCAAUUAUGUUUCACAGAUUCCAAAGAGAUCAAAUCAUCCAAGUAUAAAAAGAAGAAUCGUAGAAGAAAAGAUCAGCAGAAAAAUACUUGUCUAUAUGAGGCCAAUGGCAGCCAUGAGGUUUGAAUCACUUACUUGCUUUUGAAGACUUGAAGUUUAUAAUUCACUCUGUGAUUGUCAGGUAGCUGAUUUUCUGUUGUUUCACUUUCUUUUUCCUCGAAUGUUUAGGAGCCGAAAAGUUUAAAGUUUGUUUGCCCCAGUGACGAAGUCAACAAAUUUAGGCCCAGUCCCAGUUUGGCGUUAACGUUACAAGAUCUGGAACAUGACAGUCUGAAUGAUCAGCUUGAGUUUGAUGAUGGUGAUAUCGAAUUAUCGAUGAUGAGAUUGAUCCAGCUUUAAAAGCACAAAUUGAUAGGUUAGUCUGCCAAUUGUUUCUUACUGAACUUUUUCAAUAUUUUAUGCACUUCUCAAAUUUCAGUGAUUGAAGUUAUUUUGUUGAGAAAUAUAAGAAACACUCACACGAAUGUAGAACUCGAUAGCUGCAAAAGGGAUUUGAACCUGUCUUGAGUUUCAGAAGUUUGCAUAAAAGAAGUUUUGCACUAAUAACAAUAGAAGUCAACUCUGUACUGCAGUUCAGUAUUCCUUCUUUUUUUCUUUUUUUUUCCUAAUUGAUUUUAAGUGAGUUUCCAUGUGAGGUGUUUAGGGUAUACAGUUGUCAACAUGGUUUGGGAAACCCCAGACUUCUGUUUCCCAACUCCUUUCUCUUCAGUCAAAAUCUGAGAAGAGGCUGUUUCAAAUGGAAAUCUCAAUUUGUGUCUCUACAUGAACAGUUUGGAAAGACAAAUAUACAAGGGAAGAACCUUGUACAUGCUAUUACAUAUUCUCUUGUCUUGCGCUUACAUAUACUCUUUUUUUUGCUGGUUCAGGGAGGUUGAAGAUUUUGCUCGGAGGUUGAACUCUGACUGGCCUCAAAGGAUGCAAGAAAUUCGAUCUUUGGGUCAAGAAAGGAGGCGGGCACAAUUUUCCAUUAACGGAAAUGAUUCUUUAAGAAGAUAUGCUUGUAUGUUCUUGUUCCCCUGUCAUUUGUUUUCCUUCUCCUGAUUUUACUUAUUUUUAUUGUUUUAUCCUAUUUAUUUAUUUUUUUUGUCUAUACUCUUGCCACAUGAGUAAUCAAUUAGACCAAGAUAUAUGUGUAUAUUUCUUUUCUGUCACUACUAUAAGCUGCAAAUGCAUUGUUAUAUGUAUGGGUGUGUUUAAAUCUUCAGACAUAAUGACACACUUUUCUUUGAGAAGAAGGGUAGAGGCCUAGAGGGUCAAUGCUGGGGAUCUAUCCUGGGUGAGGCUGUGAUGUUAACGUACAUAAUAAAUAAAAAAUGUUUUGAUGUUUAUCUUUAGUGUAUAGUAGGUUGCUGUAGAUGAAAGUUGAAUGUCAUGCUUUUCCAGACUAGAACUAUGUUUACAUGGGUGUAUGGUGAUACAUAUUAUACAUGAUAAUCACUGAAGAUAACCUAUGCAGUUGUGUUUGUGUCAUUUUGUAUUCUAUGAAGUGAGCAUGAUUUAGAUAAUUGCAUUUUACCAAGUGAAGAAUUUGUUUUGGCCACGCGUCUCAGCAGGGGCAGAGUCGGAACUCCGGUGACUCAAAAGUAAAGAGAAGGAGAUUGCGGGGCGUGCCACCUCACGGGCGAGGAAAGGAAUACGCUGCGGCCAGACUUCUGAACAAGCGAAGAGGGGGUUACCGGUGCCACCUCACGGAUGAGGGAUUACAAGUAAGAAUUCUUGUCACCUGUGAAUCGAUACUCACUGCUAGGGUGAGCAGAGCAACAAAUAGGGAAAAAAGGCGAAUCAGGAGGGAGUCUGAGAACUAAGGCGAAGUGCACUUUAGAACUUAGGGUUUCGAGGAUGCUCGAGGAUUUGUAACUGUUUUUUGUAUGAUUGCUUGUGUGUUUUUUUGUAUAAUUGCUUGUGUCGAGCUCCCUUAUAUAGCGAUCCGCAAGCAAUUCGCAGAGACCUAAUCACAACCCAUUCGGACUCAGCAACUAGAAUUCCACAAGGAUACGACCAGCUCGCGAGCCGCGCGAUCCGUGCAACACGUGUCCAGAACGGACCUCGCCUAGGUCUCGCUCACCGCCCCGCAUCAUCUCACUGUAGCGUCGUACGCGAACUCGAACAUUAAGCGAUCCUAUCCCGCGGAGUACUACAGUCCAUUUCCAACUCUACCUCGCCAUGCACUGUAGAAUCCUACACAAACUGGAACAAAGGAUCCCGCGAGGACAUCGAAUCCCGCGGGGUAUCGGAAUCCUUGCAAAACUCCAGCUCGCGUGUUGCCAGACUUCGCCACCCUUCGUGGGAUUCGCAUUAAAAAAGGGCCACAGGUACUGGCCCAAAUGUUAUCCAAAACGUACCCCGAGUCUUGGACCAAAACUACCCACUGGGCUCAAACAUUGCCCCCUAGGCCUUGAGCUUAAUCCACUUCGCAACGGAUAAGCGAAAAGGCCUUAAUGAGCACUUCACUGGAAUCCGCAAUUCAAAAGGUGCUGACGUUUCGGCAUCGUCGCCUCCCUUCAUCAUUGCGACUGUUUGAAAUUUGAAACGUGCUGACGUUUCGGUCGUCAUCGCGUCUCCUCGUUACGGCUACUGAUUGAAAAGACGUUACGGUCUGUCUCCUUGAUAAACCUCGAUGCGGGUCCCCACAUCUCACCAUCGCUUUCCAACCAAGCUUUUCCCUUUCUUCUGCAACCAACAGAACUUCACCACCGGACUCACUCCGCCCAGAAACAAUGGCUCCCAAACCAACUGCUAACGAUCCAAACCUUAACCUCACGGCGGCGAGCUCUUGGUCGACCGGCCUCGCUCGCCGUUUUGCCAACAACCCUCCUCAAGGAACACCCAUUUAUUUCCUUGAAACAGGGGCAGCCCUGCUCGGUCCGACCCCUUCACAACCUCCGUCCGCCGCUGAUCUGUACCACUACACCGACUCCGUGCGCCGGCCAAUCCUUGCCCAGCGUCGCGAAUCGGGAAACUUCGCCUCCUGGUUUCACCAAGCCCGCUCUCAUAUAAAUAUCCGGGUCGGGGAAUGGCCCAGCGUCACCGCGAAGGACCGGGCAUGGUACACGGCUCGCCUCCAGACCGAUCAAGCGAUCUGGGAAGCAACCGGCAUCAACGAAGCCAUUACCUUGAGUUUCUCGCUGCCUCUUCAUGCUGAUCGAGCACCCAUUGCUGCCGCGGCCUGCUUAUGGAACAGCGCCACCAACACCUUCGAUUUCCCCUUCGGGCAAAUGAGUAUCUCACUGCUGGACAUCCUCACCAUCAUAGGACUGCCGAUUCAUGCAAAGCCAUAUACGCCAGGCGACUUUGCAUCGACCGAGUUUACACAUUCCUGCAAUCUGGGGGCCCGCCGCGCCCUGAAAGGCUCGUAUGGAGUAUGGAGGAAAUUCUACAUCGGCCAUGCAGAACAACACGAAGGAGGUAUCGCUUUCCUUGAGUAUUGGCUUGAUAAAUUCAUAUUCUGUGGCAGUGCUCACAAGCCUACAGGGAAAUGGACAAAGCUGGCCGAGACACUCUACAAUGGGAUCGAAGUAGGGCUAGGGCAGCCCGUACUGGGCGCACUCUACCGGACCCUGCACAUGCUGUCCCUAAGACCCUUCCAUCUCUCUGCUGGCCCUCUGUGGAUCCUGGACUUAUGGACGCAGCUGUACUUCCCGCUCUUCCGGCGAGCCCCGCUGGAAUUUCUGCCCGAAGACCAACUACUCGGCUUCGCGGUGUGCAAGAACGCUGCGAACCGGACUCCCCUGUCCUUCUUCGCCAGCCUCUCCAUCCUGUACAACCAACUCGAACCGCCUCCCACCAUAAAUAUGAUGGUUCGCCGGUGUCACCCUGAAGUCUUAUCAACAGGCUUCUCCCCUCGCUCUGAUUCGGACUCUGACGCCAAGACCGUCUUCAUGAGAGCAACCUCAUGCUGCGACCUUCAGCUCGCCGAGGAUGAACAAGGCUUCGAGCUGUAUGCCCCUAACCACUUCGCCAGACAACUUGGCUUCUUUCAAGGGGUCCCCUACCCACUCUUCCAUUCGGUGAACAAGUACACCUCCUAGAGGAAGAUUGGCGAGUCCGACUGAGUCACCCCGCUGCAGAACAUUUUCCCUCUCACUCCUGACUUGCUCGAGAUUGAGCCUUCACUGGGCGUUGACCCUGCAUAUCUCUCUUGGUGGCGAUCCUUGUCCGACAACCAUUGGGGGUUCCCAGAUGAUGUUGUCUUUGCUGCCAUCUUUUAUCCUCUGUACGACACUCUGGGCGAGUCAGACCGCGUCAUUCUUGAUGCCCAGCGCUACCGGGACGAGAGCAGUUCAAAGGCUGCGACAGGGUCUAGGCUUGCGCUCCCACCAGUUCCUGCUAUUCGCCGCUCGACCGGGAUCGUCAUCCGAGAACGCGAUCCCACACCCGAGGUAAACCACCAACUAUGUAAAUUCCAUACCGCCUUUACCACUUCAACAAAAUGUUUCCUCCUAACUCUCCUGUCUACCUUUACAGUCUGCACCCCGCCGGAGAUCGGUCAGAAGACCUGAGGGUGCCGGAGACAAAGGGAAAGCAGUUGCUCAAGAGGAGCCCGCGGCGGACCAUGACGGUGAGACUGCUCCCGUCAUUCCCCGGCCAACAAGCGGCGAAAGCUCGCAGAAGCGCCCUGUCGAGGACGAAGAAGAGCUGCUAGAGGAUGAACAAUAUCGGCAAGAGCACGCUUUGGUAGGCGACCUUUCUUCGAACCAAACUCAUUAAAGCCAACAAACGAUUUGCUAACUUUGUAUUUGACAGGUCCGCCGCCGCAUCCGACCUCACCUCGCUGUCAUUGAAGGAGAGACAGAGAUAGUUGAAGUCCCAAUCCCGGAACCAAACGUCGGGGAUCAGACCACGGUUACCGAGGAAGUCGCCGUGCAACCCCCCUCUCCAACCGACGCUCUAGGCGAAACUGGCCCGCCUCCAGAGCCUACCUCGGCUCCUGCUCAAGAUGAAGAUCUCGGCCAGACCACCCGGCUUUCUGACUUUGCUGCCCCUUCGGCGGUUCCGCCAAAGGACUUACAACUGGUGCUUGAGCCCUCUCCUCUGCAACCAGACUCAGCGGCCCAGACCACCGAAGAACCGACAGUCCCUACUCGAUCUGAGGUCCCAACGCCCGUUCCAGAAAUUGAGGCAGUCGCAGAGGUUGAACCAACUACCCCGGCCCCAAUGAGAACAUCUGGCGAGGCGACUUUGAUAGUCGCAUAUUUGUGCGACUUUUAUCAUGCUAAUUAUUCUUAUUACUUAGUUAUUUUGUGAUGUUUUCCUAUUUUUAAUUAACUUUAUUUGUUUUUAGGUGUUUUGAAGUCAAACAAAGAAAAGGAGAUAAUUGGGCUUAAUUAGGAUCCCUAAUCCUAGUUGGGUUGGUGAUGGAAGACAUAUAGGUUAACUAACCUAUUUCUACGUGAAAAAGGGAGGGGAGAAGGAGACGAACAAGGGAGACAAAAAGAAAGGGAGCAGCCGAACCAAAGAGGGAGAAAGAGAAGAAAGAAAGAGAGAAAAAGAGAGAGAAAGAGAAGAAAGAAAGGAGAGGAAAAAGAAUUCUUCUUCUCACCCUUAUUUCAUAUUCCAUGUAUUCUCUGAUGUUCUUAAUCAAGAUUAUGUGUAACUAAACUCCUUAGUAGUUAGGGGCUGAUCAAAGCCCUAGAUAUGUCUUCGAUUUACAAACCCCAAUUGAUUUAUAUAAUUUUAGAUGAGAAUUUCUUCACUGAUUGUUCAUUGAUAAUUCUAUUACAUGUUUCAUUGAGUCGACACUUUGAUGCAUGUUUUAGGGUUUAUUAUUUUGAAUGUGUUUAUGACUGACAUAUCGUUGCAUAUUCUAUGAGAGAUAACAAGUUCUUUCCAGGUAUUUGUGUGAAGUGAUUUCUUGGUAAUCUAAGGCUACCGACAUUGACCUUAGAUUCUUUGUUGCUACUCAAACGUUCUUAGAUCUUUAUGAUUUCAGUUAUUUUGGUCUAGAUACCGACAUUUCAUAGAUCAAUUAAUUGGGAAUAUAGUUAAGUCGAUACCGACAUUUCACUUAACAUGGCAAGUAAGAGAACGUAAUACGGUUAAUGACCUAACGACAUUGGCUUAACUGUGAGUGCAUUCAUCUUUAGUCAUUGACAUUGUUUCGGGGUGAUUGAAGCGUAUCUAGUGGUGGAGAGAAGUUCCUAGCUAUUGUUUCUCUCAUAUUUACAUCCAUAUUCACUUUUUAAUAUUCUGUUUUCAGCAGUACUUCUGUUUUAUCUAUUUUGUUCACCAAUCAAACCAACUCCGAAUACCCUCAAAAUUUGUGUGGUAGUCCGCCACUGUGUCUAGUUACUGUGUAUUUAAUUUCAUAAUUUUUGGUUGAGUCUAGAUUAGCUAAUUAAUUAGGUUUCUGCUCCUAGGUCGAGUCUGCCAGAUUUCUGGUUUACGCGUCUGUUUGUGUUUCUUGUGUGUUUAAGUCUUAGUAUCACCAAUCCUCUGCGGGUAAUGACCCCUAUUUGCUGUUUACUACAUUGAUAUAAUUGAUUUGAUAAUAGGGUAUCUUUGUAGGUGCUUUUGCGCCUAUCAGACUUCUUCUUUGGCUACCCGAACCGCUCGUCUUCGGGCCCGGAUUACCCCGCCUGCCGAUCCAGAGCCCAUUCGCCUAGCCCGGGUUUUCUUUCACGAGCUACUGCGCCAAGGUCCCCACAUGAAUGUAUUUGACUUGGUGAGGCGUGUCCGCGAGGCCCAUGAAGCUCUGAUUUGGCACCUCGCCGGCAGCAACCCUGCUCUAGACCAUGUGUUGGAACUCAUCGACGCUGUCGAGCUGCAGGCUUGCCGAGUUCAAGAUGCCGGUGCCCAGUCGGCUGCUCACGAGAAAGUCCGCCAAGCCUUAGACCAUCAGAUGGCAGCCCUUUUAGCCGAACUUGAAGACGCUGAGAUUCCUGAGGCGUCUUCAGAGAAUCCGUGUACUGUUUAUGCUCGGCAAGUGGAGGCCCUAGAGGCUCAGAUAGCGGAGUUGCAAGCUCAACUUGCUCAAGCUCGCCAGAACUUGGCCCGAGCUGAAGAAGCAGAAACCCGUGUACAGGCCGCGGAAGAGACCCAUGAGGCUUUGGACUCGGCUAUUGCUGCUGUCGACGAAGCCCAAGCCCAGGCGGAUGUUGAAGAGUUGGCCUUAGAAGGUCUUCUCAUAGAUUUGUAUAGGGCUUCUAGGCGGGUUUAGACUUGAUCAGCGCUUUGCCCCCUUUGUAUGAACCUUUAUAAUAAUAUUAACAUUAAAUCAAAUCUUUCCCGCUCUUUGUCGAAUCUUGUGUAAGAACUGCCUUCUCAGGAAAAAAUCUUCUUCCGAGAUUCGGCGGGGGUUUCCAAUGUAACUAUUCGCUUGGAACGUGGGCAGUCAUCAUGGAAUAACGCGUCCGACCUUAUCUCCAAAGCUCAUAUUUCGGAGCAAAUCGCUGCAAAAUAAACGCUUGGCCGGGCCGAAGUACCAGUUAAGUCUUUGCCCCCUUGCCAUGGGCUCUUAUACCCUUCUGUAUAUCCUCUUGUCCCUGCUUAAAGCAAAGCCCCCACCUCUUAUUUCCACUCUUCGUUCCCUCUGAGUCUGAAAAUCUACUCUCAGGCCGGGAGUGAUUCUGAAAAUCUACUCUCAGGUCAAGCCUUUGUUUGGACAAACUAAUGGUUGGGUACCUUCUGCCUUGCAUCAACUGUUCUGUCCAAACGUGAGGUUCUCGAGGCUUCGCAUCCGCUUGCGCUUCAGGUUCUGGUCAGUGCCCUUCAAGCACCUUCGAGGCAUGACCGGUAGCAUGAGGAACCCUGGUCCAGUGGGCCUCUAGCUUCCCAACACUUUGUCUUAGGUCCAGGCCGGUGUCAAGGCUCGUGCUGGUCUAUGGAAGCGGGGCGUUUGCCGACUUUAAACGAAGGAUGCGGCGGCAGUCUCUUCUUCAACCCUGCAAGAUAUACGGGUUGAGGCUUCCAAUAUCUGCAUAUCUAUGCUUCUGAAUGUAAACAUAGUCUAAUUUCACCCUUUCUGUCAAUGUAGUUGCUUCGGCCGCAAAGCCGAUGUUCGAAACUUGUAUUGAAACAACGCCAAAAAGGCAAAAUAAAUGAAUUUACUGUUUUUUAGGGCCUCUGGAAUAGGCCCCAAUCUUGUACUGGCCUUUGCGUUUAGACUUUGCACGUUUACAGAAAAUGAAGAAAAGCAGAGUUAUCCUUAUUUAGGGCCUCUGGAAUAGGCCCCAAUCUUAUACUGGCCUUUUUAGGCUGGUAUGUUACAACGUACUCUAUCAGUCUUCUAUCCCGGAUUGCCCCCUAGUGUUAGGCGGCGGAGCGAGAACGCGAUGGCGCGUAACACUAUUGACAUUAGUGACGGGGUCUGGGGGAGGUGGAGGAUCCUCGCGUUCCCAAACUCCAGCAAUGUGGCGCUUGAGGAAACGGCCAUUAAUAGGAUUGCGAUGGAUGGUGCCGUCCAAGUCGCGCAGGUGGUAUGCUCCCUUGGGGAGUAUACAAUGAAUAAUAAAGGGGCCUUCCCAUCGAGCGGACCACUUGCCCCGACCGUCGGUUUUUUCCCCAAGUGGGAGUACCGCGCGUCACACCUUUUGGCCCUCGGCAUAGUUCCGUCCGUGCGUGACUUUAUCGUACGAACGCGCGAUGCGUUGUUUCUCGAGGAUGAGAUUGUUGAAAGCGGCGACGCGGUGCUCGUCGAGAUCUUCAAGCUCCUGCCACAUAGCUUGGACGUAAUCCUCGCCAAGUAGUUGAUGUUGUUCCUGAACGCGGAGUGAAGCUAUAUUGAUCUCGAGGGGAAGGACGGCAUCAUGACCGUACAUGAGAGCAUACGGGGUAGUAUCCGUCGGGCCGCGCUUUGAAGUGCGGUAAGCCCACAAGGUGUGGUAGAGUUCCUCAUGCCAGACACGCGGGUUCAACUCCAACAUCUUGCGGAGGAUACCGAGGAUAACCUUAUUACUAGCCUCUGCCUGGCCGUUGGACUGUGCAUAAUAUGGCGUAGAGUGGAGAAGCUUGAUGCCGUAGUCGUUUAAGUACUUAACAACUAAAUCAGCCAUGAAAGCUGCCCCCCUAUCCGUAACGAUGCACUCCGGGAUACCAAAGCGGGAGAUGAUAUUGCGGAAAAUAAAGUUGCGCACCGAGUUGGCGGAGGCAACCUUGAGUGGUUCGGCCUCGACCCAUUUGGUAAAGAAAUCGGUGGCGACGAUAAUGAACUUAUACUGCUCAGAAGAAUGGGGAUGAAUGAUGCCAACGAAAUCUAUCGCCCAACCGCGACCCGGCCAAGGUUUAAUGAUAAGCUGCAACGGGAUGUUGGGAAUAUGUUGCACUGGUCCGUGAGCCUGGCAGUCUUGGCAACCUUUGGCGAAGGCAAUACAGUCUUUCAGAAUGGUUGGCCAGUAGUACCCAUGGCGACGGAUUAACCAACGCAUUUUUGGCCCGGCCUGGUGCGAACCGCAAACUCCACAAUGUACUUCGCGCAUGACACGUUUAGCUUCGUUCCCAUACACGCAGCGGAAGUCGUUUCCGUCUUCCCCACGCCGCCGGAGUUCGCCAUUGCGUAAAACAAAGUUUAAGGCGAGGAAACGUAUCUGCCUGGAGUGAGCGGCGUCGUUGGGGUUCUGGAGGUAGGCGAUAAAUGGUAGCCGCCAAUCCUCGUUGAUAAGGUCCAAGGCCGCAACUUCGGGGGUGGCGGCCUGAAACUGCCCCCUAGCGAUGAAAGAGGGAAGAGUACGGCGCUCGACCCUGAGCAAACGCUCGCGCACGCCGUCGCGCAGGCUGAGGCCGGAUGCUACCUGGGCGAGCUCGUUGGCGGCGAAGUUGAACUCACGUGGUAUGUGCUCGAUGUAGACGUCGUCGAAUCGAUCCAACACCUCAAAUGCCUUGCGCAGGUAUGGUUCAAUUGACGAGCUUAAGCACUUGAACUUUUCCACCAGCUGGUUAACGACUAACAAAGAAUCGCCAAAGAUCUAAACCUCGCGGACUCCUAAAUCCAACAAAAUCUCUAGUCCGAUGAUCAGCGCCUCGUACUCAGCCUGGUUGUUGGUACAUUUGAAAUCGAGCUGGAACGAGUAGGAGAAGCGAUCUCCAGCGGGAUUGGCUAUGGCUAUCCCAGCUUCGGCUGCAGUAUCAGUCCGUGAACCAUCAAAGUACAGGGUCCAUGGAGCGAGUGCCACAGCAGCAAAGUCCAACUCGCGAAACGCCGUGAGCUUUGAGGGUGGGUGAUGAGCGAGAAAGUCUGCUAUUGCCUGUCCUUUUACUGCCUUUUGCGGAACAUAUUGCAACGAGAAUUCGGACAUGGCUAAGAUCCACUUGCCGAUGCGUCCCCGUAAGAUAGGGCGAGAGAGCAUAUAUUUGACCAGGUCGGAUUGAGCGAUCACAACCGUGGUAAAGGCAAGCAUGUAUUGGCGCAGCUUUCACCCUGCAAAAUAUAGGGCAAGACACAACUUCUCCAUAGGUGAGUAUCGUGUCUACACUCAGUUAACACCCUGCUAAGGUAAUAGACAGCGUGUUCUACCCCGUUCACAUCGUCUUGGGCCAGGAGUCCGCCGAUGGACAAGUCGGCAGCGGCGAUAUAAAGUUUAAGCGGGGUACCGUCGCGAGGUGGGAUCAGGACUGGUGGGUUCGUAAGGUAGUCCUUGAUCCGAUCGAAGGCCUGUUGAUGUUGUGGUUCCCAGACGAACUCGGUUGCCCCCUGGAGCUUGAGGAGGGGUGAAAAAGGCUGGACCUUCCCUGCCGCAUUGGAUAUGAAACGGCGGAGAAAGUUGAUUCGCCCAAGCAGCUGUUGAAGCUCCUUCUUUGUGUUGGGGGGUGAAGCGGUGAUUACCGCCUGUGCCUUGUCCUUUGGGAUUUCAAUGUCUCUUUGAUGCACUAGGAACCAAGGAAAUCGCCGGCCUCCGCGAAGAAAACACACUUGGCGGGGUUCAUCUUCAGGUUAUGUUGGCGCAUCCGUGUAAACACCUGCCGCAGGUCUUCAACGUGGGUUGCCCGUGUUUUGGUUUUGACUACCACAUCAUCAAUGUAUACUUCGAUCAACUUCCCCAAGAUGUCAUGAAAGAUGAGGUUCAUGACGCGCUGGUACGUUGCCCCCGCGUUUUUAAGUCCGAAAGGCAUGACAACAUACUCGAAUGCGCCGACAAAACCAGGGCAGCGGAAGGCGGUCUUGUGUCGAUCUUCCUCAGCGACGGGAAUCUGAUGGUAUCCGGCCGUUCCAUCCAUAAAGGAUAACACCUUGUGCCCCGCGGCGGCAUCAAUAAGUAGGUCAGCCACAGACAUGGGGUAUAUAUCCUUCGGUGUUGCGUUGUUUAGGUCGCGGUAAUCAACACAGACGCACAUCUUGCCAUUUUUCUUGGGGACGUGGACAACAUUGGACAGCCACUCGUUAUACUUUGCCACGCGAAUGAUGCCCGAUCGGUGCAUGCUUUCGAUCUCUUCCUUGACUACGAUUUGAGUCUCAGUUCGCAUGAAUCGGCCGUCCUGCCGUACUGGACGUCGGUCGGGAUAAGUUGGUAACCGGUGGCAGACCAAGUCCGGGGACAAGCCGGGCAUGUCUUCGUAUUUGUCGGCGAAGCAAUCCCUGUACUCGCAUAAUAGGGCAAGAAGGGUUUCCUUUUCGUCCUCCGCCAACUUGGCACUGAUAGAAAUAAGUAAGGGUUUUUCUGCAGUCCCUACGUCAACUUGUGAAAUGGGGUCGCGGACUUGAGGUGGUGUGUCGUCCAAGGCGGNNNNNNNNNNNNNNNNNNNNGAACGGGGUGUGGGAUCCGCGAUGGUGUGAGGACGUUGCAAAUCGUCCUUCGCCUGGGUAAGUCCCCAUCGCGUUAGAUUGGAGGCCGUUAUUCCAUAUGGGCGGCCCUUGUUAUCGACGCCUUGAACAUCCAACGGACCCAUGUCUGUAGUAUAAUAUCGGGCAUCGUUGAAGUUGGCGGAGAUGGAGAAUGGCCGCGGGUCGGCUUUGAUGAUGACCGCUUCACGGUUCUCGGCGUCCCAAAUCAUGAGUUCUUGGUGCAUGGAGGAAGGCACGCAAAAACUUUUGUGGAUCCAAUCUCAGCCAAGAAUCAUGCUGUAAGAGGAAGCGCAUUCGGCGACGAAAAAGGUGUAAACCCGUGAUGCCGGCCCGACCUUGACCCGUAGAAAUAGCAAGCCUAGGGUUCUGGACACUUGCCCGGUGAAGUUCUUGACUGUUAAGGACAUGGUUUGGAUCAUCGAGCGCGGGAUGUCUAGGAGUCCCAUGGUACGGGUUGUGACAACAUUGACCGCGGCACCGGUGUCGACCAUGACCUUGUUGAUCAUUUUUCUUUCGACUUCGGCCGUGAUAUACAGUGGCCGUAUGUGAGUGGCCAUGUCCAAAGUUGGUGUGGAGAAGGUUAGAGUUUGCUUAUGUUUGAUGCUGCUCGUAAUUUCCACCUGUGGGGCGUCAUCAGCUUAUGCCAGAACUGGGCCCAUUUCGCUGCUGCAUGGCGGGGGUAUGCUACUGACAUCCUCGCUGCUGACGGGAAUAUCCGCCGCACUGCAGGUUGUGUUCGGUGGGAGAGCGUAUCUUUCUGAAAUGAAGAACACCAUCCCAACUUGAAAGGAGAAUUGUUCAGGAACUGGGACCAAGGGAGUGUCAAUGAUUCCGUGUUCCCCUUCGAGCACCGCGAAAGCGUCUGCUUCGCGGCUAAACCCUUCAUCAGCACCCCAUCCUGAGACCUCUAUCAUAUUACAGGUGAAUGAUUCUGCCUGCUCUUCGUCCCGGCUUUCCUCUAGGUUAAGUCGAGGUUCUGAAUGUGCCUCGUCGUCUUCUGAAUUCUCGCGGAAACGCUAGGCCAUUUGUUGGGCGAGGUUAGGACUGGAGGGCGCCUGUGCGGCUAUUGGUGGCUCUUGAGCCUCGGGUUGCCGCGAACGCCAUACUGACUUGGUUGAAGGCUGAUGGUCCUUGGCUGGUUGUUUGUCUGUUGCCAAAGGAGCCUUAUCGUUGUCUUCUUUUUUCAACCGUUGUAGGGCGGAUACUCGGGGAACCAUCCGAGUCUCGGGCUCCGGGGUAGACCGUGCCCGAGGUUGGUGUGGUGGUGGUGGUUCCCUUCUGAUAUUGGCCUCCGAAUUUUGACGUUCCCGUUGCCGUGAGGGCUGAGACAGUUCGCGUUUGGGCUCUGGGUCCGGGGUCGUGAACAGCUUACGUCUAGGACCGGUAGGCGGAACCCUUCUCAGCUCGGGCUCCGGUGACGGCCUGUGCCUGGGAGCUUGGUGAUCCCUUCUCUUUUCAGGCUCUGGUGACGGUUUGGGCCUAGCAAGUUGUGGAUCCCUUCUUCUUUCAGGUUCUGGUGAUGGCCUGCGCCUGGAAGGCUGUGGAUCCCUUCUUCUUUCAGGUUCUGGUGAUGGCUUGCGCCUGGAAGGUUGUGGAUCCUGCUUUGGUGGAACCGCGAGUCGGCAAAAGACGUUUGCUUUGGGUGCAGGCUCGUCGCUGAACUGCUCGCAAAUCCUUGGGGAAUUAAUAUUUUACUGGAUAGUAAUUGUCUAUGUGAAUAUUAGUUAAAUUCAUGGUCCACAUCACACUGGCGAGCCCGAAUAAUAUUGGGUUUAGAGGCGGGCUACCUCGCCUGCAAUAUCAUGCGAGCUGGAUGUAGGGCUUGAUUGCACAAAGGCCUUCACAUAUAAGGAGGACUGAAAUUAUGAGGCGAGCUGAGGAGUUCGCACGUAUCAAAACAGCAACAUCGCUUGCUUGGCGUGCCCGAAUAAUAUUUCGUGCCACGACUUGAGCUCCUUGCUUGAAGCAUCUCGCCAUCAACCUAGCAGCCUCGCCCCGACUUCAUGGAUUGGCGUGACCUCGCCACUGUUUAAUGAGGAAAGCAUCUCGAUGGUAUCUUGAAGAGCAUCUCGACGCCGGCUCGGGGGCACCUCACCACUGAAUGCUUGUUUAAUUAAAGGUGAAGGCAUCAAUGUCUUAGCCUUGGUUGAAUAAAGCAGAAGGGAAAGAUGACUAGUUGGUAUUGUACGUGCAUGGCAAGGGUUCUUAUCCCAUGCAAUAAUUAUCCAAUAGUCAAGCAUAUCCAGACGGGUAGUAUCUCACGUCUAUCUCCGUGAGGAACUCAAACCCCAUGCAAUAAUUAUCCAAUAGUCAAGCAUAUCCAGACGGGUAGUAUCUCACGUCUAUCUCCGUGAGGAACUCAAACCCCUACAAUACCUCAAUUGGAUUAGGAAACAACAUCCAGUAGCACACGUCCAAGUCACCAUGAGGUGUUCUAACUCAACUCUUCUAGAAAGAGGCAGUUAGUUACUUCGCCGGGGUACCAAGCAAGUGAUUACUAUUGCCUACGAUACGAUAUUAUCGUUGAAGACUUCUACAAGUCUUUGACAUGCUUUGGGCCAAUUCAUGUGGCCCUAAAUAACUCUAUAUAAAAGAGUUCGAGGAUCUGGUUGACUCUCUACAAAAAAACACACAAGCAAUCAUACAAAAAACAAUUACAAAUCCUCGAGCAUCCUCGAAACCCUAAGUUCUAAAAUGCACUUCACCUUAGUUCUCAGACUCCCUCCUGAUUCGCCUUUUUUCCCUAUUUGUUGCUCUGCUCACCCUAGCAGUGAGUAUCGAUUCACAGGUGACAAAAGAUCUUACUUGUAAUCCCUCAUCCGUGAGGUGGCACCGGUAACCCCCUCUUCGCUUGUUCAGAAGUCUGGCCGCAGCGCAUUCCUUUCCUCGCCCGCGAGGUGGCACGCCCGUAAUCUCCUUCUCUUUACUUUUGAGUCACCGGAGUUCCGACUCUGCCCCUGCUGAGACACGUGGCCAAAACAGAAUUUAUAUUGGUAAUGCCUUUUUUGACCUUGAAAGAGGGAGUUGGAUUUCGGCCUUGAAUAAUUUGUUCACCCAAAAAGAUUGGCACAAGUUCUCUUCCAGAGUGUGUAUCUAAUUGCUCAAAGUCAAAUACUCAUUGCGUAUCAUAUUAUGCAUUGCUCAUUUGUUUCCCUUGUUAUAUACCGGAGCGAAUCCAUUGUGGAAAUGAUUCUUACGACAUGAUUAUCCCUCUGUCCGCCAAUGGCCGGAACAAUUUUGACCAAAUGCUAACAGUCUUUUAAGAGUUACUAUCAUUUACUUGGAUCCAAAAUGUGAAUUUCUUUUUUCUUGUUGUUUUCUAGAAUUCAAUUCAUUUUUCUUUUGUUGGCUCAACUAGGACACAGUUUUCAGGGGAAACUUUUGUACUUGUAUCUUGAACAAAUAAAUUAUCACAGUAAUUUGUUGUCAUGAGCUAAAUUUUGCUCGGUUAUCACAAGCUUGUAUGAGAUCACAGUAGUUUCUACUCGCUUUCAAAGGAAUAAUGAAUAUAUGUCAUUUAUCUUUGCAAUUUUGGCUCUCAACAAUUACAGCUUGUGAGCUUUAGUAUAUGUUUGUAAUGCCCCAGUUUGUAAUAUAUGUCAUUUAGCAAAGUUGGUAUAUAUUUCAGUUAUGAAAGUUGGACUGCCAGUACUAGUUUCAAGCAAGUAAAGAAAUAUUAUUCCGGUUUGCAAUAGGUAAUAUAAUGACUAUCUCUCAAUUGUAUCAGCACCAGUAUAUAUCUGUUCUAGCAAAUGUAUUUACUUUGUUCUGCGGCACUCUCCC